rnacentral:rRNA from 1 species
AAACUUCGCAACGGGGGAAACCCCGACGAGGGAAAGCCAAGUGCCAGCACACUGUGCUGGCUGUUUUCCUGUCUAAAAAACAGGGAGAGUAAGGGCUGGGUAAGACGGGUGCCAGCCGCCGCGGUAAUACCUGCAGCCCAAGUGGUGCUCGUUAUUAUUGGGUCUAAAUCGUCCGUAGUCGGCUGAGUAGAUGCCUGGGUAAAUCGAGGCGCUUAACGUCUCGAAUUCCAGGUAGACCGCUCGGCUAGGGAUCGGGAGAGGUGCAAAGUACUCCGGGGGUAGGGGUAAAAUCCUGUAAUCCUCGGGGGACUACCAGUGGCGAAGGCGUUGCACUAGAACGAGUCCGACGAUCAGGGACGAAGCCCUGGGGCGCAAACGGGCUUAGAUACCCCGGUAGUCCAGGGUGUAAACGCUGCGGGCUUGGUGUCGGCGAUCCUACGCGGGUGGCCGGUGCCGGAGCGAAGGUGUUAAGCCUGCAACCUGGGGAGUACGGUCGCAAGACUGAAACUUAA